UACGUAGGGGGCAAGCGUUGUCCGGAUUUACUGGGCGUAAAGCGCGCGUAGGCGGAAGGUGAAGCGUGGCCUGAAAGCCCCCGGCUCAACUGGGGAGGGUCACGCGAUACUGCUCGACUUGAAGGCAGGAGAGGGAAGUGGAAUUCCCGGUGUAGUGGUGAAAUGCGUAGAUAUCGGGAGGAACACCAGUGGCGAAGGCGACUUCCUGGCCUGUUCUUGACGCUGAGGCGCGAAAGCGUGGGGAGCAAACAGG
rnacentral:rRNA from 1 species